rnacentral:rRNA from 1 species
UACGAAGGGGGCUAGCGUUGUUCGGAAUUACUGGGCGUAAAGGGCGCGUAGGCUGUGCUGUAAGUCAGGCGUGAAAGCCCCGGGCUCAACCUGGGAAUUGCGCUUGAUACUGCGGCGCUGGAAGGUGGGAGAGGAUGGCGGAAUUCCCAGUGUAGAGGUGAAAUUCGUAGAUAUUGGGAAGAACGCCGGUGGCGAAGGCGGCCAUCUGGCCCAUUUUUGACGCUGAGGCGCGAAAGCGUGGGGAGCAAACAGG